UACAGAGGGUGCAAGCGUUGUUCGGAAUUAUUGGGCGUAAAGGGCGCGUAGGCGGUGCGGUAAGUCUGUAGUGAAAUCUCUGGGCUCAACUCAGAGUCUGCUGCAGAAACUGCCGUGCUUGAGUGUGGGAGAGGUGAGUGGAAUUCCCGGUGUAGCGGUGAAAUGCGUAGAUAUCGUAAGGAAGACCAGUGGCGAAGGCGGGGUCUCUGGACAGUUCCUGACGCUGAGGCACGAAGGCCAGGGGAGCAAACGGG
rnacentral:rRNA from 1 species